CCGGCGCCGCCGCCUCUCUUUCUCUGUAGCGCUUCCGAAGCAGCGGCGGAAACGACGUCAACGACAGCAGCAUCUGUAGCAUCAUGGAGAACCGGUGUGUAAGACCUUCAAGGACGUUUCGCCUCACAAGCUCAUCGAGGCCAAUGCGGCGCACCUCAAGAGAUCUAGCAAGGCAAAUUGCAGGAUUGAAUAGCUGCAAUCCUAUCUUGAAUCUGCACUUGGCAAACCGACACAACAAAAUCUGCUCAUUGAAUCUACUUUUUUCCUUCAUUGUUACAUAUAAAUCUUCAGUCUGAUUUGAACUUGUAUCACAGGCUUGGUUUGGAUUCACGAGGAGGAUGAUGUUCCAAUUGACAUUCCUGAAGGGAGGAUUUCCUGCAAAUUGAUAGCAGUUCAUGCUGCAUUACAGAAAACAAAAACCUAUGGAUGAACUGCAAAAACUUUUGAGAGCAAGGGACACAAGGAUACCAAAGGUGGAUCAAGUUAGUGUGAGGCAUGAUGCGUGGGAAAUACCAGAGGGGAUAUCUGUUAAGUCAAUUCUAGUGGUGAGUGACCAUCACACAAAAAUCCACAUCGAAGGCACUCGUUUCGUCGUCGACGAAUGUGGAGGGCUGGAGCAGUUUCCUGUGGCUGCUAUAAUAUGGUCCGCGAUACUGAUAACCUUGUCUCCGAAGCGAAGCAUACCUAGCCUCUUAAGAAAUAUCACAAGUUUGAAAAGUAGAACUGUCAAUUCUAUCGAACAACUACAAUUUUGAUAAGGAAAACUCAAAUAUAUUUAAGGGCGUAAAUGAAUUAAGUUGCUCAUGAGCUAUUCGAAUCUCAAUUCGAAAAAAAUUCGUUUGAGCUGAGGCAUAAACAAAUCAAGCUCAAACUUCACAAUAUUUGACUCGUUAGCUUGUGAACAUGUUCGUUAAGUUCAUUGAUCCUGUCCGAAAACUGAAUCAACGGACGCUGGACACGUGGCGCUCUCCGGUUGCCGACGCAGAUCUUCGACUGAUCGUGUGGAGCUCCGGCGAACCUGCAAAGAAGUCGGGCCGGGAAAGUGUUCCCGGCGACGACCCUCCGACGCUCAAGUCAGAAAAUGAACAGUAAGAAAGUGGCUCCAGGGAUCCUUGAUUGCAUACCUCCGGUGAAGUCUAAUGGCCUUUAUAUAGAGCCACGGGAACUUGGUGCACACAAACCGAGGUGUACAUGUGUCAUAUCCCAUACCGC